CUGCACCCCCGGGUGGCAUCGCCGUAACUCCCCGCCGUCCUGCACCCCGGGGUGGCAUCAGCCCGGCUCCCUGCUCUCCUGGACCACGACCCUGCAGCUCCCCGCUGUCCCCCGCCCCGGUGCUUCUGGGUCUGAUCACCCCCGGGACAGUGUUUCCGGGUCUUCUUGUCCCCAAGGAUGGCGCUUCUGGSCUUGCUCAUCCCCUGGCAUGGCAGUUUUGGGUCUGCUCAUCCCCUGGGAUAGYGCCUCUGGGUCUGCUCACCCCCUGGCACGGCGUUUUUGGGUCUGCUUGUCCCCUGGGAUGGUGCUUCUGGGCCUGCUCAUGGCCCAGGGUAGCGUUUCUGGGUCCACUCAUCCCCUGAGAUGGCAUUUUUGGGUCUGCUCAUCCUCCGAGAUGAUGUUUCUGUGUUCGUUCAUCCCCUGGGAUGGCGCCCCUGAGUCUGCUCAUCCCCUAGGAUGGCACCUCCAGGUCUGCUCACGGCCCGGGAUGGCAUUGCCGGGUGGAUCGCGUGCCCGGACCCAGCGCCAGGCCCUCCCGGGCCACAUACCACCACGUGCCGAGGAUGCCAUCCCAGCCGGGCAGCUCUUGGUGCUCCCUUGGCGUCGGUGCCGGCGCCAGCGAGUGCCCACUGUGGGCAGCCCGGGCCCGGUCCUGUGCCACCCUGGAGCGGAGCGGCAUCCCCGGGCAGCAGCGGGGAGCCGGGAUGGCACCAGGCCGCGCGGAGGGCGGCUCUGCCGCACAGAUGUUCGGCUUUGUGCCGGGGGAGGGAUUUGCGCUUUGUUUUUCAACAUUUGCCAUUUUUCUCCRCGGCUUUCUUCUGCUCUGACACUCGGCGAGGGCGGGGGGUUCGUUCUUUCUUUCUUUCUUUCUUUUUUCUCUUUUUCCCCUUUCUCUCUCUCUUUCCGCAAUUGCUUUCUCAGCCCCGGUUCAAACCCUUUUGCGCCGCACAUUAUGCCGGCGUGGCGACCAUCUGGCGCUUUGUUUUGCGGCGAGCCUCGGGACCUUUCUCCCCCUCCUCCUCCUCCUCCUCUUCCUCCUCCUCCCGGGGCCGCUGCUGGCGGCUCGCUAAUCCCAGAAACCCGGCUGCGGGGGGCAAAAUUCCUGGCUCGGUUUGAGCACCGGCUGUUAGCAAAGGCAUCCGGAUUUAUUUAUUUUUCUCUCCCCUUUCGCUCCGUCGCGCGUGCGCCGGGGAAGGAGGCGGCGAAGGAGGCGACGACCCCCCCCUCCCCCCCCCCCCCCCGCCGCAGCGCCGCGCUGCCCUCGGCGGCGUCGCCUGCGCCUCCCGCGCACAAUAGGCGCCUUUGUCGGGCCGGAAACCUCCGCCGGGUCGGCGAAAAGCUGCAUUAGCAAAACGGCCAAACCGGCAGCGAAAAAUAAGCGGGCAGGAAAAGCAGCCGCAGAAGUCAGCGGCCCCAGCGCUCGCUGUCCUGCRCGCCCGCGGGGGCAAGUUGUGCGGGACACGACCCCAAACUUCGCCUUUUUUUGCCUGCACAAAGCAACGGGGAGCGCGGCCAAGCGGCCCGGCUGCUGCGGCUGCUCGGCGNNNNNNNNNNNNNNNNNNNNNNNNNNNNNNNNNNNNNNNNNNNN
ensembl:lncRNA